rnacentral:rRNA from 1 species
UGGGGAAUUUUGGACAAUGGGCGAAAGCCUGAUCCAGCAAUGCCGCGUGCAGGAUGAAGGCCUUCGGGUUGUAAACUGCUUUUGUACGGAACGAAAAAGCUUCUCCUAAUACGAGAGGCCCAUGACGGUACCGUAAGAAUAAGCACCGGCUAACUACGUGCCAGCAGCCGCGGUAAUACGUAGGGUGCGCGCGUUAAUCGGAAUUACUGGGCGUAAAGCGUGCGCAGGCGGUUAUGUAAGACAGAUGUGAAAUCCCCGGGCUCAACCUGGGACCUGCAUUUGUGACUGCAUAGCUAGAGUGCGGCAGAGGGGGAUGGAAUUCCGCGUGUAGCAGUGAAAUGCGUAGAUAUGCGGAGGAACACCGAUGGCGAAGGCAAUCCCCUGGGCCUGUACUGACGCUCAUGCGCGAAAGCGUGGGGAGCAAACA